UGGGGUAUAGCUCAGUGGUAGAGUGUGUUCCUAUUAUGUAUAAGGUCCUGGGUUCAAUAACCAGUACCUCCA
rnacentral:tRNA from 1 species